rnacentral:rRNA from 1 species
UACGUAGGGGGCAAGCGUUGUCCGGAUUUAUUGGGCGUAAAGAGCGUGUAGGCGGCCAGACAGGUCAGCUGUGAAAAACUCGAGGCUCAACCUCGAGACGUCGGUUGAAACCGUCUGGCUAGAGUCCGGAAGAGGAGAGUGGAAUUCCCGGUGUAGCGGUGAAAUGCGCAGAUAUCGGGAAGAACACCCGUGGCGAAGGCGGCUCUCUGGGACGGUACUGACGCUGAGACGCGAAAGCGUGGGGAGCGAACAGG